rnacentral:rRNA from 1 species
GCUUUUUUUUUUUUUUUUUUUUUGGCGUUUUUGUAUUGUUUUUCCCCCCCAACAAGACCGGGCUUACAAGAGGAGGGAAAGGGUCUCUCUGGUUUGGGGGGAGGGGAUUAACCGGGGUACCCCCCUUAAGAGGUGGAACUCCGGGAACCGGGAUUUAUCCGGUUUUUCCCUACCCCCUUGUUAAAGGAAAAAGCGGUUUUGGUUUUAUAUAAGAGAGGCCCCGGGGCCAUUAUUUGGUGGGGGGAAUAUGCCUCCACAGGGGAAUUUUGUUACCCCCCUGGAGAGGUGUUCGCCCCCAGGGGGAUGAAACCGGCCCCAAAUUCCUAGGGGAGGCACCAGUAGGAAUUCUCCCCAAUGGAAGAAAUUUUGACGGAACAACGCCGCGUGAGUGAGAAAGUUUUCGGAUCGUAAAGCUCUGUUGUUAGGGAGAACAAGUGCGAGAGUACUGCUCGCACCUUGACGGUACCUAACCAGAAAAGCCACGGCUAACUACGUGCCAGCAGCCGCGGUAAUACGUAGGUGGCAAGCGUUGUCCGGAAUUAUUGGGCGUAAAGGGCUCGCAGGCGGUUUCUUAAGUCUGAUGUGAAAGCCCCCGGGUUCAACCGGGGGAGGGUCAUUGGAAACUGGGAAACUUGAGUGCAGAAGAGGAGAGUGGAAUUCCACGGUGUAGCGGUGAAAUGCGUAGAGAUGUGGAGGAACACCAGUGGCGAAGGCGACUCUCUGGUCUGUAACUGACGCUGAGGAGCGAAAGCGUGGGGAGCGAACAGGAUUAGAUACCCUGGUAGUCCACGCCGUAAACGAUGAGUGCUAAGUGUUAGGGGGUUUCCGCCCCUUAGUGCUGCAGCUAACGCAUUAAGCACUCCGCCUGGGGAGUACGGUCGCAAGACUGAAACUCAAAGGAAUUGACGGGGGCCCGCACAAGCGGUGGAGCAUGUGGUUUAAUUCGAAGCAACGCGAAGAACCUUACCAGGUCUUGACAUCCUCUGACAACCCUAGAGAUAGGGCUUUCCCUUCGGGGACAGAGUGACAGGUGGUGCAUGGUUGUCGUCAGCUCGUGUCGUGAGAUGUUGGGUUAAGUCCCGCAACGAGCGCAACCCUUGAUCUUAGUUGCCAGCAUUCAGUUGGGCACUCUAAGGUGACUGCCGGUGACAAACCGGAGGAAGGUGGGGAUGACGUCAAAUCAUCAUGCCCCUUAUGACCUGGGCUACACACGUGCUACAAUGGACAGAACAAAGGGCUGCAAGACCGCAAGGUUUAGCCAAUCCCAUAAAUCUGUUCUCAGUUCGGAUCGCAGUCUGCAACUCGACUGCGUGAAGCUGGAAUCGCUAGUAAUCGCGGAUCAGCAUGCCGCGGUGAAUACGUUCCCGGGCCUUGUACACACCGCCCGUCACACCACGAGAGUUUGCAACACCCGAAGUCGGUGAGGUAACCUUUAUGGAGCCAGCCGCCGAAGGUGGGGCAGAUGAUUGGGGGAAGUCGAAACAAAGUGCCCC